UUCACAAAUGUCGACUGUACUAACCGUAUGAGAUUGAAUGAGGUUUUUGAAUGUGGUAUUGGAGGUGAAGUAUGAUCUGAAGUAGCAUAUAAUUCCUUCGACCAUUACAAGUCAUCGGAUAUGAUACGUGAUACAACUCAGUAGAGGCAAUCCCAUAAAGCAUAGUUCACAUUUUGCCUGAUAGAGGCGCUAACACUCACGGUUGCAAUUCUAAUAAAUCUCAGGAAAGUUACGGAGUUGGACCAAGGGAUCGGUUGGCAGGUUUUUCGCCUUGAGUAUAAACGCUGGUUGGGAACUACUGCAUCGAGAUUCGCGCAGAAUUUCUUUGGGAUAUUCGGAAGGAAACCCGUCCACGCUGCACUUAUUUGAACAGGAUUCCCACAAGUGGUUAUAGUAUGGUGUGUAAGAUAAAGACAGUGUUCCUCCUGGUGGGUUAUCUAUGGACCCUUACAUCCGGGAUCUUAGCCCAUCCUUUCUUGGCAGACGAACUUGACAUUGACCUACAAAAUUCACUAAAUUCAAAACCAAAAUCAAACCCAAAAGACUUAUUAGCGCUCUCAAAAUGGAAUUCUAAGCAAAUUGGUGACAUGAGCAAUAUCACUCCCGCAGAAAAUAAUAAAGAUGAUGUGAUUUGGCCAAAGCGAGCUGCACCGGAAUUCAACCCGUCUGGAUGGCGACGCAAGCGCAGUGCGAGUUUCGAUGAUGGGAUGCAUAACAUAGCCUUCAAGGAGUUAAUGGAACAACUUCAGCACAAGCUGAACUCGCAGGGCGGGAUUAACAGACGUGGAAAACCAGAGUUCAAUCCGUCUGGUUGGAGGAAAAAGCGAUCCAAUCGGAUGUCGUAUAACGUUCUCGCGAGAUUUGCGCGUGAUCUCGUGAGAGGUAAUCGUCUGCGUGUGAAGAGGCAGGAAGAGCCUCAGUUUAAUCCUUCAGGUUGGUGAUGGAUACGGCAGCAAUGAAGGGGGCAACAAACACCACUGGGAGGAAAGAACUUGAUCAAAAAAGGUUUUCUUUGAUGACGCAAGGCCUGGUGGGAUUCUGGUGCAAUUGGUUUAGAUGUGCCGAGUGUCGCUUUCAAGAACCUUUUAUUUCCCUCGAGAAUGUGUAUUGUUUCUUCAAUUAUAAUCACCUCAUCACUACAGUACAUUACUUAUCCAGGACUUCUUAGAAAAAAAAAAGGAAAUUUAUAACUUGAAUGAUGUUUACACAUUAUUAUCAACCCCGGAAGCAAACCCAUCGACACAUUAGAAAUAUAUUUUUUUGCCGACUGAUUUGUGUGGUCACUUAUUACCUUUUUUCUACAGCUCGUUUAUAAGAUGCUUGAGACACCCCGAUUGUUCAUGUACGAUGGACACUGUUAAAUCCAGGGAUCAUGGGUGCAAACCAAUGUUUGUUCGAUUACCUGUACCGGAAAAACGUUGGGUGUGAAAGUGAAAACGUUUCAACUGUGGGAACUCUAUUAGUCCUGCCAUUGAAAGCACUCGAGCGCAAGCGAGAAUAUCGGACUGGUGGCUAGAGUUACAUCAACAGCAGAACUGAUAAAGAUCCAAAUAGACCUAUGAUCUCGAAAGCGUUUCAAUGAGCUUUACUACAAUUCGUUGCGUAUUAACCAAAAGAGAAAAACCCUAACCCCACUGUGAAAGUAGGUGAGUAUCGCAAGAAAUGUGAGCAUCCGCGUAAAUGCGCAGGUUAGAUGCACUAAAUAGUGGAUCUUUCUAUCGAACACCUGUCCAAAUGGACACUGACAAUUUUCCCCGCACCAUUUUUCCUCAGUAAAAACUGAUUUUUAAUGCAGCGAUCCAAUUUGGCUACGUUUAUCGAGAACAUAUGAAAAACUUUAUUCGGGAGUUUUUAGACGCACCCUGUGACGAUAGAUGGUGUUUAGGAUGGGGUUGUAAGCCGACACGGCCAAAAUAAUGUCAGCCUAAUAGUAAAAUAAUUUAGUCAAUAUCAUAAAGAUAAUAUGCGAUAACUAGUAAGCAAGACUAUUAGCCUACAUUAGAAAGACAAUAAGUACGACUUCAAACCUGAAUUUCUUAUAACACUGUUAU